UAGCUAUGGUGUGGGCAAGCAAUAAGUAAAUCUUUAAAUCGUUCCCAACACUGGGAAAAAGUUUCAUCUCCUUUUUGAAAGAAGUUCAUAAUGUCACUCCUGAGAGU